rnacentral:rRNA from 1 species
UACAGAGGGUGCAAGCGUUGUUCGGAAUUAUUGGGCGUAAAGGGCGCGUAGGCGGGUCGGUAAGUCAGGGGUGAAAUCCCACGGCCCAACCGUGGAAGUGCCUCUGAUACUGCCGGCCUCGAGGGGGAUAGGGGCGUGCGGAACUCAGGGUGGAGCGGUGAAAUGCGUAGAUAUCCUGAGGAACACCGGUGGCGAAAGCGGCGCGCUGGAUCCCUUCUGACGCUGAGGCGCGAAAGCCAGGGGAGCAAACGGG